rnacentral:misc_RNA from 1 species
GGAGAAUCCAUUGCCUCGAAAGGAUGAUGAUGAGUCUGAUAAAAGUAAAAAACAAGGAGCGGGAAAUGUCAUUUCCAUUGUGCCUCGAUCUGGAACUAUGAUGGGAACACCAGGUCCAAGCUUCUGGUCCUGGAUACCUCCUUCAGACAGUUCUUUUGAUGACAUUCAGAUGAAGUCAGAUGUCUCUCUGUCUCCAAACCCACCAAGCCCUGUUAUAGAGAAAGAACGAUCUCCAGAUUUUCUAUCUAUCCCAUUUCAGAGUGCUACGAUUGAUAAAAAACAUAGUCCUCCUCUUCCACCGCUUCAGUCACAUUUGGAAGUUGAAAAUUUGGAAGAUUCCAGCUCAACGCCUGAGAUACCUCAGCAGGUGGAGGAACGUGAACUUGGCAUUCUGUUCUCUGCAAAUGCAGCAGAAGCAGCUCAUGCCCUUAAGCAGAAAGACGAGGCAUCAUCCGAGGGAAUCAAUCCUGAUGGAUCAAGAUGGUGGAAGGAGACUGGGACUGAACGACGAGCUGAUGGGGUGGUCUGCAAGUGGACGCUAACCAGGGGCGUUAGUGCUGACAAAACUGUUGAAUGGGAAGACAAGUAUUGGGAAGCUGCUGAUGAAUUUGGUCAUAAGGAACUAGGUUCUGAGAAAUCAGGACGAGAUGCUGCUGGAAAUGUAUGGCAUGAGUUCUGGAAAGAAUCAAUGUGGCAGAAUGGUGGGCUUGUCCACAUGGAGAAAACUGCAGAUAAGUGGGGAAAGAAUGAUAAAG